rnacentral:rRNA from 1 species
GCCGCAGAGUUUGAUCAUGGCUCAGAACGAACGCUGGCGGCGUGCCUAACACAUGCGAGUCGAGGGAGAAAGCCGCAAGGUGAGUAAACCACGAACGGGCGCAUAACACGUGGACAACCUUCCUUGAAGACUGGGACAACUGGGCGAAAGCCUUGCUAAUACCAGAUAAGCCCACGGGAACUUCGGUUCCUGAGGGAAAAGAUGGCCUCUGUAUACAAGCUAUCACUUCAAGAUGGGUCCGCGGCCCAUCAGCUAGUUGGCGGGGUAACGGCCCACCAAGGCAGCGACGGGUAGCUGGUCUGAGAGGAUGAUCAGCCACACUAGAACUGAGACACGGUCUAGACUCCUACGGGAGGCAGCAGUGGGGAAUCUUGCGCAAUGGGCGAAAGCCUGACGCAGCAACGCCGCGUGUGUGAUGAAGGUCUUCGGAUCGUAAAGCACUGUCGCGAGGGAAGAGAAGCUUCGGGUGAACAAUCCGGAGAUAGGACGGUACCUCGAGAGGAAGCACCGGCUAACUCUGUGCCAGCAGCCCGCGGUAAUACAGAGGGUGCGAGCGUUGUUC